UUGAGUUGUGUUUCUUCUUCAGCUUCAUUGCGUUUUGACAUAACCUGCACCUUAUUUUCUUUUUCAAAAGCUUUUUGUUUUGUAGCCAUCUAAUCAGCUUGACUGUCUUCCUUUUAGUUGGCUUUCCUUCAGUCAAACACAAUAUUUUACUUUCCAGACUCAUGUCCCUACCAUGGAUUGUAAAAUUGGUCUUAACGUGAGGUUUGGUGGCCUAUUUUUUUUUUCAGCGAUGUUAAUUGCCCGCGUAAACCUAACCAAUCAGAGACAGAGUAGGGUGACCUUUCGCGAGCGGUCUUGUGUGCCCCUGUCGAAUAGUGUUUUGCCUCCUGUUAAAAUGCAUAGCGCCCCUAUCUGUAGAGAUGCUCCCUAACAAAAACAUCAUAAACGUUCUUAAUGAUAUCAAACUAUUUGGAGCGCCGUGUUCUCUGACAGUGGUACCAUCCUGGGACAUGAUGUUGGAAAUCCAGGUUCCUCCAGAGCUCCACUUGGGACUUUGCCUCGGAAUGAGAAAAAUUUACACCGUUCUGCAGUUAGCACCAGAUAACGUUACUGAGGACAAUGGAGUGGGAGGAGGAAGAGAAAGAGGUGCGUGCAAGAUCUGAAAACAACCUAAGCAUGGAAUCCUUAGCUCUGUGAAGAGGCAAGAGAAAGUGUCAGAAACCUCAGUAUGACACGGACAAAAUUAUUGUCCUGUCUGUGCAACAGCCUCCACAAGAUAAGGCACAAAAAAAACCUGCAAAUGCCAAGAUGCAUGAAAAAGUGCUUCCACCUCCACAUGACCAUCCAGGAACCUCUGCAAAAGAAAAGGCAAAAGAAAACGAAUACUCUACUCCACAGACACUUCUGCAGGAAGCUAGGCAAACCAUUGAAAGGCAAAAAGGUGAGAUUGCCACCUUAAAAGAAUGGAUCGAUAUGCUUACUGAGGAGAGAAAUUUCCUCCGGGAGAGACUUAAAGAAGGUAAAGAUGAUUUGAGGAGAUUACAAGUUCAUAAAUGUACAUGUACGUUGAUUGUGAUGAAACAUCUGUUGUUAAAUCACUUUAUUUGUUUUGCACAGCUCUUACACGCUCAAAAAUGACAGGAGAGCUGAGACAGCAGUUAAGAUCUCACCUGUAAAGAAACAAUCUGGACGGAUGAAAGAUGACUCAGAUGAAACUGACCUUUCCUCAUCUAAUGAGUCCUCUGAUUCUGAAGCUGACACAGCAUCAUCUGAGGACAAGAAGCCCAAAAAGUCCAAGUCCAAGCGCAAAACAAAAAAGCUGAAAAAAAUGCGAGUGAAAACCCCUGACCAAUCCAUCCAGCGUUACAACAUGGUGCUGGAGAUGGUGAGGAAUGAUGGCAUCAGCAAAGCGGAAGCCUAUGCAAGGAUUGUAGUAGAUCGGAAUACCAUUGUAUAUCAGGCACCAAUUGCUGAACUUGCAGCUACCAACCACGAGCUGUACAAGACAUUGAGGUCUACUGUUAAAAGAAAGGAAAGCCUCAAAAGGUUUGCUGAAACAUGUAAGGGCUUUUGUGAGCAGGAGCCUACAGCUUCAGCAAUUCUAAAAAAAAGAAAAAGAAGCUGGAUCCUUGCUGGACAUUUACAAGAAAUAAAAGGGUCAACUUGUUGUCAAGAAUCUGGCUUGGACCCAAGUGCAGAAAUGCGAGGAGGAAGCAGCAGUGGAAAUAAAAAUAAUUUAAUGAAAACACAAAGAGAGCUUACAAAAACACGCAAGCUGGUAAUGUCCAAAAACACAGGAAAAACCACCAAGAACACGGAAGAAACAGGGAAUCAAAGAACACGAGAA